CAACUGAAUAUUUGCCAGAGGCAGACCUACUCCAAACCAAGCUGCUCCUCAACCGCUCCUCCAUAGAGUUGAAAUCUGCCUCCUGACUAUAUCCACUACUUCUUUCCUCCCACCUCCAGCAGCAAAGAGCAAAAAAGGUUGAGCCCAAAGUGUAAAACACGAGUGAACAUAUGGGAAGCACCCAUCGUACACUGAAUAAUGGUUCGGCACUCCUACACUUGUGCAAACAACUCAAAACUGUUGCUCUUGUAAGAGCCUUGCUGUAACCCUGCCUAGAGUGAUUCUGUGGCUCAGCUCG